UACGUAGGUGGCAAGCGUUGUUCGGAAUCACUGGGCAUAAAGCGCGCGUAGGCGGCUGGGCAAGUCGGGUGUGAAAGCCCUCGGCUCAACCGAGGAACUGCGCCCGAUACUGCUCGGCUUGAGGACCGGAGGGGAGAGUGGAAUUCCCGGUGGAGCGGUGAAAUGCGUAGAGAUCGGGAAGAACGCCGGCGGCGAAAGCGACUCUCUGGACGGCCCCUGACGCUGAGGCGCGAAAGCUAGGGGAG
rnacentral:rRNA from 1 species